rnacentral:rRNA from 1 species
UACGAAGGGGACUAGCGUUGUUCGGAUUUACUGGGCGUAAAGCGCACGUAGGCGGAUCGUUAAGUCGGGGGUGAAAUCCUGGAGCUCAACUCCAGAACUGCCUUCGAUACUGGCGAUCUUGAGUCCGGAAGAGGUGAGUGGAACUCCUAGUGUAGAGGUGGAAUUCGUAGAUAUUGGGAAGAACACCAGUGGCGAAGGCGGCUCACUGGUCCGGUACUGACGCUGAGGUGCGAAAGCGUGGGGAGCAAACAGGG